GACGAACGCUGGCGGCGUGCCUAAUACAUGCAAGUAGAACGCUGAAGGAGGAGCUUGCUUCUCUGGAUGAGUUGCGAACGGGUGAGUAACGCGUAGGUAACCUGCCUGGUAGCGGGGGAUAACUAUUGGAAACGAUAGCUAAUACCGCAUAAGAGUAGAUGUUGCAUGACAUUUGCUAAAAAGGUGCAAUUGCAUCACUACCAGAUGGACCUGCGUUGUAUUAGCUAGUUGGUGGGGUAACGGCUCACCAAGGCGACGAUACAUAGCCGACCUGAGAGGGUGAUCGGCCACACUGGGACUGAGACACGGCCCAGACUCCUACGGGAGGCAGCAGUAGGGAAUCUUCGGCAAUGGACGGAAGUCUGACCGAGCAACGCCGCGUGAGUGAAGAAGGUUUUCGGAUCGUAAAGCUCUGUUGUAAGAGAAGAACGAGUGUGAGAGUGGAAAGUUCACACUGUGACGGUAUCUUACCAGAAAGGGACGGCUAACUACGUG
rnacentral:rRNA from 1 species